rnacentral:rRNA from 1 species
CUACGUGCCAGCAGCCGCGGUAAUACGUAGGGGGCAAGCGUUAUCCGGAUUUACUGGGUGUAAAGGGAGCGUAGACGGAAUGGCAAGUCUGAAGUGAAAUACCCGGGCUCAACCUGGGAACUGCUUUGGAAACUGUUGUUCUAGAGUGUUGGAGAGGUAAGUGGAAUUCCUGGUGUAGCGGUGAAAUGCGUAGAUAUCAGGAAGAACACCGGAGGCGAAGGCGGCUUACUGGACAAUAACUGACGUUCAUGCUCGAAAGCGUGGGUAGCAAACAGGAUUAGAUACCCUGGUAGUCCACGCCCUAAACGAUGUCAAUUAGCUGUUGGGCAACUUGAUUGCUUAGUAGCGUAGCUAACGCGUGAAAUUGACCGCCUGGGGAGUACGGUCGCAAGAUUAAAACUCAAAGGAAUUGACGGGGACCCGCACAAGCGGUGGAUGAUGUGGAUUAAUUCGAUGCAACGCGAAGAACCUUACCUGGUCUUGACAU